rnacentral:piRNA from 1 species
UAUAUAACGUGUCAAAAGACGAUAAAGC